GGGAAACAGGUUAAUAUUCCUGUACUUGGUGUUACUGCGAAGGGGGGACGGAGAAGGCUAUGUUGGCCGGGCGACGGUUGUCCCGGUUUAAGCGUGUAGGCUGGUUUUCCAGGCAAAUCCGGAAAAUCAAGGCUGAGGCGUGAUGACGAGGCACUACGGUGCUGAAGCAACAAAUGCCCUGCUUCCAGGAAAAGCCUCUAAGCAUCAGGUAACAUCAAAUCGUACCCCAAACCGACACAGGUGGUCAGGUAGAGAAUACCAAGGCGCUUGAGAGAACUCGGGUGAAGGAACUAGGCAAAAUGGUGCCGUAACUUCGGGAGAAGGCACGCUGAUAUGUAGGUGAAGUCCCUUGCGGAUGGAGCUGAAAUCAGUCGAAGAUACCAGCUGGCUGCAACUGUUUAUUAAAAACACAGCACUGUGCAAACACGAAAGUGGACGUAUACGGUGUGACGCCUGCCCGGUGCCGGAAGGUUAAUUGAUGGGGUCAGCGCAAGCGAAGCUCUUGAUCGAAGCCCCGGUAAACGGCGGCCGUAACUAUAACGGUCCUAAGGUAGCGAAAUUCCUUGUCGGGUAAGUUCCGACCUGCACGAAUGGCGUAAUGAUGGCCAGGCUGUCUCCACCCGAGACUCAGUGAAAUUGAACUCGCUGUGAAGAUGCAGUGUACCCGCGGCAAGACGGAAAGACCCCGUGAACCUUUACUAUAGCUUGACACUGAACAUUGAGCCUUGAUGUGUAGGAUAGGUGGGAGGCUUUGAAGUGUGGACGCCAGUCUGCAUGGAGCCGGCCUUGAAAUACCACCCUUUAAUGUUUGAUGUUCUAACGUGGACCCGUGAUCCGGGUUGCGGACAGUGUCUGGUGGGUAGUUUGACUGGGGCGGUCUCCUCCUAAAGAGUAACGGAGGAGCACGAAGGUUGGCUAAUCCUGGUCGGACAUCAGGAGGUUAGUGCAAUGGCAUAAGCCAGCUUGACUGCGAGCGUGACGGCGCGAGCAGGUGCGAAAGCAGGUCAUAGUGAUCCGGUGGUUCUGAAUGGAAGGGCCAUCGCUCAACGGAUAAAAGGUACUCCGGGGAUAACAGGCUGAUACCGCCCAAGAGUUCAUAUCGACGGCGGUGUUUGGCACCUCGAUGUCGGCUCAUCACAUCCUGGGGCUGAAGUAGGUCCCAAGGGUAUGGCUGUUCGCCAUUUAAAGUGGUACGCGAGCUGGGUUUAGAACGUCGUGAGACAGUUCGGUCCCUAUCUGCCGUGGGCGCUGGAGAACUGAGGGGGGCUGCUCCUAGUACGAGAGGACCGGAGUGGACGCAUCACUGGUGUUCGGGUUGUCAUGCCAAUGGCACUGCCCGGUAGCUAAAUGCGGAAGAGAUAAGUGCUGAAAGCAUCUAAGCACGAAACUUGCCCCGAGAUGAGUUCUCCCUGACCCUUUAAGGGUCCUGAAGGAACGUUGAAGACGACGACGUUGAUAGGCCGGGUGUGUAAGCGCAGCGAUGCGUUGAGCUAACCGGUACUAAUGAACCGUGAGG
rnacentral:rRNA from 1 species